UUCCACUUUCCUUCCUUCGCUUACCCGCGUUAUGCAGCCAUGUCUGGUGGCGAGGAACUGCACAAAGAGGUAGACGGAGCAGAGAGAGAGGCAUUAAGAAAGACUAAAAACAAUAAUGUGCCUAUGCAUGUGACCCUAGAAAAAGGCAGCGGUGACGAGAGAGCAAAGGCAGCAAGGGCAAGUUGGGAAAGUAGCAAGAUGCUUCUUGGCUCUUGGGUCAAGAGAGCGGUGGAGAAGACUCGGGUGGAAAGACUGACACACUUCUGCCGAGGCCUACCUGGCUGGGCCUCUCUCACAAAAGUUCUCCAUGAUGUUCGAGUGAUUUUAACACCCCCGGGAGAGCCACUUUAAAAGUCCACACUCCGAUACAAGAAACACCAGUGGUGGAAACGACUUUUACUCACAUACUUCUACAGUCAGACAAACCUCCCACCUCGCCAGCAGUGAUGAUGACACGUCCAUCUCCAUCCUGUAGAUGGCAGCAGUGUAAAGAAAACCCCCUUCUCUCUCUCCGCUGAUGCCUCCCAUCCCCAUCAACUUAAUGGUGCAGUAGCAGAGCCCAUUCCAGGCAGCCAUUAAUAACUUGAGAAAAGUCCUCUCUCUGCCUCGUCCUCGUGUCUCACUUGACAUGGUUGGCCUCAUUUGAACUUUUGACCCGCCUGUAAUUUGCAAUGUAAGCUCUCCAAUUUACAAUACCUUCACAACGGAGCGUGUUAACGAUUAUUCAUCACUGCAGUGCAGGCUUCAGAGAGAGUGUUAGUGUGUGCAUGAUAUAGAGAGAGACUACCAGCUUAUAAAGGGACAUCAAUGUCAAAACGAGUAUACACAUGUGCACAUAACACCUUUCAGCACACACAGAGGCACACUAGACUUUUAUUCUUGCGAUAAUCUCCAACUUGAAACCUUCCAAAAGCGAGAGCAGCACUUUAAAAAAGACAGAAAAGCACAGUCACACACACAGUUGACUGCAUCUGAGCUACAGAGACAUUAGUGCUGCAGGCUCUGAUAUGACUGAUAAUAAUGUUUAAAGCCUGGUGUCACUUCAGUGAAUCAACAAACAUAUGAACUCUUGCCCUGCAGUUCCUUUCUCACUAAAGAGAAAAAAAAAAAACUAGAAACACGAUGCAUCACCCUCACCCUAAAACUGAUCUGAU